UCAUAUACAUUGAAAAUAGGAUGGAACAAGGGUGCCCAAGAAUUAUAGUACGAUUGUGUACUGUAGUAGUGUUGAACAAGUGGUCUAAAAUCAACUGAACGAAAAUGACAUGCUGCUAGAAUAUGGCUACAUGGGAAUCCAUAUAUGAGUGUUUUACCACAUGUGCAUGCAUACUCCUGUAAGUUGAUGCGAUAUGUUCGACCACGAGUUGAGCUACUCUUAGUACCCUUAUUAGUCUUCACAUGAAAUUG
rnacentral:lncRNA from 1 species